rnacentral:snRNA from 1 species
AUACUUAGGUAGUAGUGGAGAGACCAUGGACACACAGGUGGUUUUCCUAGGGGGAGGCUUAGCCCUUGCUCGCUGGGUUGGUCUUUGUGUUUUCCUCAAAAAUGGGAAAUUUCACUGCAUACUUAUGGUAGUGGGGGACUGCCAUAAAUGAACAGACAUUUA